GGAUGAACGCUAGCGGCAGGCUUAACACAUGCAAGUCGAGGGGCAGCACGGGUAUCAAUACUUGGUGGCGACCGGCGCAAGGGUGCGUAACGCGUGAGCAACAUGCCCGUAUCAGGGGGAUAAUCCAGGGAAACUUGGUCUAAUACCCCAUAGUAAUCUUAGGAGGCAUCUUUUAGGAUUUAAAGCUUUGGUGGAUACGGAUUGGCUCGCGUGACAUUAGCUGGAUGGUAGGGUAACGGCCUACCAUGGCUACGAUGUCUAGGGGUUCUGAGAGGAAGAUCCCCCACACUGGAACUGAGACACGGUCCAGACUCCUACGGGAGGCAGCAGUGAGGAAUAUUGGACAAUGGAUGGAAAUCUGAUCCAGCCAUGCCGCGUGCAGGAAGACGGCCCUAUGGGUUGUAAACUGCUUUUAUACGGGAGCAAUAAGGUCUACGAGUAGGCCGAUGAGAGUACCGUAGGAAUAAGCACCGGCUAACUCCGUGCCAGCAGCCGCGGUAAUACGGAGGGUGCAAGCGUUAUCCGGAUUUAUUGGGUUUAAAGGGUGCGUAGGCGGUGAUAUAAGUCAGCGGUGAAAGUUUUCAGCUCAACUGGAAAAAUGCCGUUGAUACUGUAUCGCUGGAAUAUGGUUGCUGUGAGUGGAAUGUGUAGUGUAGCGGUGAAAUGCUUAGAGAUUACACAGAAUAUCGAUUGCGAAGGCAGCUCACAAAGCCAUUAUUGACGCUGAGGCACGAAAGUGUGGGGAUCAAACAGGAUUAGAUACCCUGGUAGUCCACACUGUAAACGAUGAUAACUAGCUGUCGGCGAUACACAGUCGGUGGCCAAGCGAAAGCGAUAAGUUAUCCACCUGGGGAGUACGACCGCAAGGUUGAAACUCAAAGGAAUUGACGGGGGCCCGCACAAGCGGAGGAGCAUGUGGUUUAAUUCGAAGCAACGCGAAGAACCUUACCAGGUCUUGACAUCCCUCUGAAUGGCGCUAGAGAGUGCCUCGCAAGAGGAGCCUGGUGACAGGUGCUGCAUGGUUGUCGUCAGCUCGUGUCGUGAGAUGUUGGGUUAAGUCCCGCAACGAGCGCAACCCUUGCCUUUAGUUGCCAGCACAUAAUGGUGGGCACUCUAGAGGGACUGCCGGUGACAAACCGGAGGAAGGUGGGGAUGACGUCAAAUCAUCAUGCCCCUUAUGAUCUGGGCUACACACGUGCUACAAUGGCCGGUACAACGAGAAGCGAAACCGCGAGGUGAAGCAAAUCUUUUAAAGCCGGUCCCAGUUCGGAUUGCAGGCUGAAACUCGCCUGCAUGAAGUUGGAGUUGCUAGUAAUCGCGGAUCAGCAUGCCGUGGUGAAUGCGUUCCCGGGUCU
rnacentral:rRNA from 1 species